rnacentral:rRNA from 1 species
AGAUUGAACGCUGGCGGCGUGCUUAACACAUGCAAGUCGAGCGGUAACGCGGGAGCAAUCCUGGCGACGAGCGGCGAACGGGUGAGUAAUGCUUGGGAAUCUGCCCAUUAGUGGGGAACAACCAGCCGAAAGGUUGGCUAAUACCGCAUACGCCCUACGGGGGAAAGCGGGGGCUCGUAAGACCUCGCGCUAUUGGAUGAGCCAAAGUCGGAUUAGCUAGUUGGUGGGGUAAUGGCCUACCAAGGCGACAAUCCGUAGCUGGUCUGAGAGGACGACCAGCCACACCGGAACUGAGACACGGUCCGGACUCCUACGGGAGGCAGCAGUGGGGAAUAUUGGACAAUGGGGGAAACCCUGAUCCAGCGACGCCGCGUGUGUGAAGAAGGCCUGCGGGUUGUAAAGCACUUUUAGUGGGGACAAAAAGCUACGGAUUAAUACUCUGUGGUCUUGAUCUAACCCAAAGAAAAGCACCGGCUAACUCUGUGCCAGCAGCCG